rnacentral:rRNA from 1 species
UACAGAGGGUGCGAGCGUUGUUCGGAAUUAUUGGGCGUAAAGGGCGCGUAGGCGGUGCGGUAAGUCACCUGUGAAAUCUCCUGGCUCAACUGGGAGCUUGCAGGCGAAACUGCCGUGCUGGAGUGUGGGAGAGGUGCGUGGAAUUCCUGGUGUAGCGGUGAAAUGCGUAGAUAUCAGGAGGAACACCUGUGGCGAAAGCGGCGCACUGGACCACAACUGACGCUGAGGCGCGACAGCGUGGGGAGCAAACAGG